GAAAAAUGCACUGUGUCUGCCUGGCUUAUCCAGGGAAGCAGCUCAGACUGGAGUUCUAAGCCUGUUUGCAAGGACUCUAGUGACAUCAUUUUCCUCCACUUCAAAGUCCUCACUGACCUCUUCAGCUUGAAGAGAAAUCUCAUGACUCCACCCACACUGUCUCCGACCUAGCCCAUCUCAUCAGAACCCAGGUUCUGUUUCAUCAUGAAUGUUAACCAGAGAGCAAAUGCUCAGAAGAGAAGCUUUCUGUAGUGGGAAACCUGCUGAGUAGAAGAAUAGAGGUUCAGAGAGUAUCUUACAAGAUGGAACAUUCCUGAUGGUGCCAGUGCGAGGUCAG
rnacentral:lncRNA from 1 species